UACAGAGGUCUCAAGCGUUGUUCGGAUUCAUUGGGCGUAAAGGGUGCGUAGGUGGCGCUGUAAGUCGGGUGUGAAAUUUCGGAGCUUAACUCCGAAACUGCAUUCGAUACUGCGGUGCUUGAGGACUGGAGAGGAGACUGGAAUUCAUGGUGUAGCAGUGAAAUGCGUAGAGAUCAUGAGGAAGACCAGUGGCGAAGCGGGUCUCUGGACAGUUCUGACACUGAGGCACGAAGGCCAGGGGAGCAAACGGG
rnacentral:rRNA from 1 species